rnacentral:lncRNA from 1 species
AAAGAGUCCUAUUCAUGGCUAGUUUUGGACUCACCAAGCCACGGCUGGGUGACAACAGAAGAGGAAUCCCGAACAUUGUCCAAAUGGCAAAGACGAUUGCCUGGCACAUUUGCCCGAAGCCCAGCCAAUGGAAAUCUGAAUUUCCUCAACCUCCUUUCUCUAGCCUAUUUCUGUAACAUUGCGGCAGCUUCCUGGAGACUGACAGAGAAUCAGCAGCUCCUAGUAUCAGAAGGCACAUUUAGGGGUGGCUUUGAAUACACCGAAGCAAUUUUGAGCAAGCAGAAGGCUCCAAUUAAAAGGAAAGGACAGGAAAGUGGGCACAAAAGCUCUGUAAGCUGCGGCUUUCUCUUGCAUACUCUCCUCGGCUGUGGACAUGAGGCCUCAGACUCCCGAAGUCACGCCCCAAACAGAUGUAGAGCACACUCGUCUUAGAAAAACACUCCAGCUCUCUAGGCCACUGGGUGGUGGGCACCCUCCCAGCCGUGGCCUCUGAGCCUUUCUUCUCGUCCUCCUCACUCUGCUUUUGCAAUCUGGUAAUAAAAUAUCUCUGGGACCAUUCUACGCUUUCUCUCAUUGCUGUACCUCUUCCUGGCCUGGUGACAGAGGAGAUGUGUCCUCACCUUGGAGAUAC